UCGCCCGGAGUCCGCCUGGCGCGCGCAGUACCAGCGGCUCCCGGCGCUCUCGGCCGCCGGGACACUCUCCGCCCCGGACGCCGUCUCCCGCCUGAGAACAGGUGGCCUCGGAGAGGAGCGCGCCGACAGUCGCCUCUCACUCACCCAGAAGAUGAAGUUAAAUCCGAAGAGCAGGGUGAAGAGGCCCUUCUCAAUAUCCUUUACAGUUUUCUCUUCCUCACCCCUGCAGGAAGUUUCCUUAGCAUUCUUCAUUGCAAAAGCAAACCGUACUUAUUACAGAAACAUCAGAAAAUAUCAAAAAGCAAAAAGAAUAGGACUUGGGUUUCAUUCCUAGCACACCUGUAACUCCAGUUCCAGAGGAUCUGACACCAUCUCCUGGCCUCUGUGGGCACCAGACAUGCAGAUCUCAUUAAGGAGCCCAGAGUCUUUGAUUCUAGAUCCUCUUGCCUUAUCCUUUUGAGAAUUGGAUUUCCUUCCUUCCUUCCUUCCUUCCUUCCUUCCUUCCUUCCUUCCUUCCUUCCACAUCAGCUCCUGCUUCCUAACCUGCUUGAGUUCCAGUCCUGACUUCCUUUGGUGAUGAACAGCAGUGUGGAAAUGUAAGCCGAAUAAACCCUUUCCUCCCC
rnacentral:lncRNA from 1 species